ensembl:lncRNA
GUGUUCAAAAUAACGUCACAAGAGAAGAAUAAAGUCUUGUGUUCAUUGUUAUCAAUAAGAAGAAUCCUCCAUCUUUACAUUGCGUAACUCCUUCAGAGCACAACAGCAUUUCUUGGUCUCACAGCUAAACUGGUCCGAGCGGAUAACCAGUUCCCGGCUGCUGCUCUCUGUGGUUGAUGUUGGGUGUAGCUGAUGGAGCGCUUCAGCUGUGUGAGGCCUUUGCCCCUCCAGUACUUUAUGUGAGAUCAAUACACACACUGUAUUUCAACCAUUUGACAGAAGUGGAGGUGUGGUGGGAAAUGUUCCGUAGCCGGUGACACGAGUGAUGGGUGGAAACAGGUGGGAUGAGGGGCGUGUCCUCGCUCAGGUGUGCAUGUGUUGGAGGAGGAGGAGGAAAAGAAGCUUAUUUAUACAGCUGCACUCCAGGUGAGCAGCACCUUUACGUCAUGCCUCUCUACAACGUGAUCGCUGUGGCGACCCUGCUGACCGCGCUGACCCCAGGUAGGAAGCCUCGCCGCACACACAUGACCAAUCACGUCACAGCUAAGACAUUAAAUACAAAAGAAUGAAGCAACUCUCAGAAUAUGACGAUUAAUUCGGGACUGAAGUGGGAAGCCAUUGUUCUUCUUCCCUUUUUGAAACCGUUGGUUUAUUCGAGUUUCACUUGUUUUAUUACGAAUAGUUUCUUUAUGAUUUGAUUUGUUGCACGCAGUAGUACAUCGUAGUAACUGUAGUAAUAAUACAGGCAGCAGUACUAGUAGUACACCGUAGUGACUGUAGUAAUAAUACAGGCAGCAGUACUAGUAGUACACCGUAUACACCGUAGUAAUAAUACCGGGCCGAGAGAGAGAGAGAGAUUUUUUUUUGAUUUUUAGAAAAUCUUUAUUUUACAUAAAAAACAAUUAGUCAUUACAGUCAUU